rnacentral:lncRNA from 1 species
GGAGGGCAGGCUGGCCGUGCCCGCCCCCGUCCCGCCUCCCCUCCCUCCUCCCGUCCCCCCUCCCGUCCCUCCCCCCCCGCCCCUCCCUCCUCCCCCCUCCCGUCCUGAGCUCACAAGCGCUCGCUGUCCCUCUUCUGCUGCUUUGUCUGUGCAGGUUUUGUUCUGCUUUUCACAACAGAGGCAUCAACAUUCUGAACAAAUCUCAUCAAAAAUUGAUUCCCAGCAGAGAGGAAAUUCAAAGCAAAAUGGAAAUGCGUUCAGCCUGCAGGCGGCUUUCCAUCUGGGAGCAACGUGUCAUUUUUUCCCCCUUUAGAUGUGGCCCGGCGUCCUGAGAAAGCCGGUUGCCAUGGCGAUUCCACAGCGGCUGUUGCGUCCGCGCUGAGACGUCAGCGGCUCCUCUGGGCUGAACAGGGGGCUUCAGUGACGAAUCCUUUCUUCUUCUUCCUUUCUUCUUCUGUCGCGGGGUGUGCGAAUGCCCAGAUGCUUUCUCGUCUUUAAUGGUGUUUUCAUUUUAAUAGGCUCGGUAGAGGUAGACUCAUGGCUGUAGAAAAUUUCAUCAAAGCAAGAUUCAUGCAAAAGACACCGUCUGAACAAAAGAUCAGCGUUCGAGCUCUCCUUGUUCUGAGAGCAGAGACCCUGGAUGGAGUCACAUCAGGGCCCAUUAGAGAAAAGACUUGGCUUUGAACGUGUGUCCAGCCCCCUGCAUUGUGCGCAGGAGGGAGGGUCCCAGGCCCCUGCAGACAGCAGCUCGGGGUCCGAGCCCUGCCUGGUGGCCCCCUCCGCCCCCACUUGCAGAUGUGACUGGGACAGUCCUGCUGGUGUCACGCCAACGCCCUGCUUUGAAAGCCCAUCACCAUCUGAGUUGGGGGGGGUGGACGUGGCGUGACCACCACCCAGAGACUGUGAGUGCUGUUGGGAAGACAGCAUCAUUUGUUCAGGAACAUUGACCGGGACUGUGCCGGUCCAUCCUGCCUGGGAGCACGGCCUGCACACGACUGAGCCGGAGGGACUCUCGGAGCUGUGGGCUCAGGUCUGGGUGGGGAGCGGCCAGAGAGAGGCAGGAGGCCAGCGCAUGGAGCAGCUGGACUGGCAGAGUUGAAAACAAUCAACAGAAGAAGACUAUUUCACGAUACACAGAAAUUAUCUAAAACCCAAACUUCCGUGUCCAGAAGGAAAGAUUUAGUGGAGCCGGCCACACUGACCUGCAGCAUCAAGCCGCAGACGCAGACGCCCACGGAGACCGCGGGGACCGCGUGGCCCACGUGGCCGAAAAGGCUUGCCCUCCGGCCCCUGAGAGGAGAUCUGCUGACCCCUGACCUGAAACCUGGCAGGUGCUCUUGUGUGCCUGAAAUAGCCCCUCGGGGGGUCCUGGGGGGUCUUCCAGACCUGCCACGGUUGUUGCUGAUGUUUAAUUGUUUGACUUUUUUUCUUUAAUCAUUUAAAAAAUAAUAUCCAUUUCUUGUAACAAGUUAAAAUAAUAGGAGCUACGCCACUGAAAGUUGUUCUCAAUAGCCGCUCCCAGGCCCCCCAGCCCGUUCCCUUGGGGGGACCUCUGUCCACUGUGUUUCUUCGCUCAGACACAGACUGUCACUCUUCUUAGGAAAAGCAGUUGCAGGUGCAUGUGGUCUGCCACUUAUUCUCUUUCCCUGGACACUGGACACCCUCAGAUCAGUCGGGCAUCCCUGAGUCAGCAUUGAACAAAUGCAUCCUAUUCCGUAGUGGACUUGGAAUUAGUUAUUCGACCCUGCCCCAUCAACGAGCAUGCAGGUUGGUUACCCUUUUUCUCCAUGACUUUGAGUUC